GGGAGAAUCCUGAAUUCGAAAGGGAUCGGAUUCAAGUCCGCCCGGCUGCACAGGACGCCUGGCCCCGCCAGAUGGCGCCGGUCGCCCGCGGCGAUUCAUUUCGCUUGUGGUGUCGUUCCCGGCGAUCACUCGGUGAGGUGGCGAUGCUCUGGCACCGGAGGAGUGCACUUCCCCCCUAGUAGAAACGUCGCGACCCGUUGGGUGCCGGUCCAAGGCCCGGGAAGGCAGACCGCGUGUCCUGUGGGGGUUCUCACAGGCGUGCGGACUCCUGGUGACCCGGCCGGCUGCUCGACGGUAUGACCAGAGGAGUCGAUCCGCUGAAUGUGAAACACUUUGGAUGUGUAGCGUCCGGCCCGGCGCCGAUGCGUGCGGGGAUUGAGGUGCAAACCGGGGGUGUCCGUGCGAAGCACGGCCCCGGCCCCGCUGCGUUUUCGGAUUGUCGGUGUCCUCGGACUGGAUCGUUACUCCCGUCUGCGACGCCCACCUUCGGAUGGUCUCCCG
rnacentral:rRNA from 1 species